AUCGGUGAAAACCACGUGAUCAUCCACGAGAGCGGUCCAGAGUCGCUGAGAUAACCAGAACUGCAGAUACCACAGACUCUGAGAUAACAUGGUGUGCAGCUGGAUGAACACAGCAGGUCAAGCAGCAUCAGAGGAGCAGGAAAGCUGACGUUUCGGGCCUAGCUCCUUCGCUGAGACCAAGAUUUGUGCAAUUGAGAUACCAGCGAUCGUUGCCAAAGCCCUGUUCCCUGUGGAGAAGGUGAUAUUUAACUUUCGUGUGCUGCUGCAGUUCGUAUGAUGAAGGUGCUCCCACAAUGCGGUCAUUUGAGAAGUUACAGAUCGGUCAUCAAGCGAUACUGAAGAGCUGAUGAAUAUUACAAGUGGACUUUCAGGUGGGAAGCUCAAUAAUUGUAACACGAAACUGACAGA